GACGAACGCUGGCGGCGUGCCUAAUACAUGCAAGUAGAACGCUGAAGGAGGAGCUUGCUUCUCUGGAUGAGUUGCGAACGGGUGAGUAACGCGUAGGUAACCUGCCUGGUAGCGGGGGAUAACUAUUGGAAACGAUAGCUAAUACCGCAUAAUAGUAGAUGUUGCAUGACAUUUGCUUAAAAGGUGCAAUUGCAUCACUACCAGAUGGACCUGCGUUGUAUUAGCUAGUUGGUGGGGUAACGGCUCACCAAGGCGACGAUACAUAGCCGACCUGAGAGGGUGAUCGGCCACACUGGGACUGAGACACGGCCCAGACUCCUACGGGAGGCAGCAGUAGGGAAUCUUCGGCAAUGGACGGAAGUCUGACCGAGAAACGCCGCGUGAGUGAAGAAGGGUUUCGGAUCGUAAAGCUCUGUUGUAAGAGAAGAACGAGUGUGAGAGUGGAAAGUUCACACUGUGACGGUAUCUUACCAGAAAGGGACGGCUAACUACGUG
rnacentral:rRNA from 1 species